CAGCAGUGGGGAAUAUUGCACAAUGGGGGAAACCCUGAUGCAGCGACGCCGCGUGGAGGAAGAAGGUCUUCGGAUUGUAAACUCCUGUUGUUGAGGAAGAUAAUGACGGUACUCAACAAGGAAGUGACGGCUAACUACGUGCCAGCAGCCGCGGUAAAACGUAGGUCACAAGCGUUGUCCGGAAUUACUGGGUGUAAAGGGAGCGCAGGCGGGAAGACAAGUUGGAAGUGAAAUCUAUGGGCUCAACCCAUAAACUGCUUUCAAAACUGUUUUUCUUGAGUAGUGCAGAGGUAGGCGGAAUUCCCGGUGUAGCGGUGGAAUGCGUAGAUAUCGGGAGGAACACCAGUGGCGAAGGCGGCCUACUGGGCACCAACUGACGCUGAGGCUCGAAAGUGUGGGUAGCAAACAGGAUUAGAUACCCUGGUAGUCCACACCGUAAACGAUGAUUACUAGGUGUUGGAGGAUUGACCCCUUCAGUGCCGCAGUUAACACAAUAAGUAAUCCACCUGGGGAGUACGACCGCAAGGUUGAAACUCAAAGGAAUUGACGGGGGCCCGCACAAGCAGUGGAGUAUGUGGUUUAAUUCGACGCAACGCGAAGAACCUUACCAAGUCUUGACAUCCUGCGACGCACAUAGAAAUAUGUGUUUCCUUCGGGACGCAGAGACAGGUGGUGCAUGGUUGUCGUCAGCUCGUGUCGUGAGAUGUUGGGUUAAGUCCCGCAACGAGCGCAACCCUUAUUGUUAGUUGCUACGCAAGAGCACUCUAGCGAGACUGCCGUUGACAAAACGGAGGAAGGUGGGGAUGACGUCAAAUCAUCAUGCCCUUUAUGACUUGGGCUACACACGUACUACAAUGGCGUUAAACAAAGAGAAGCAAGACCGCGAGGUGGAGCAAAACUCAGAAACAACGUCUCAGUUCAGAUUGCAGGCUGCAACUCGCCUGCAUGAAGUCGGAAUUGCUAGUAAUCGCGGAUCAGCAUGCCGCGGUGAAUACGUUCCCGGGCCUUGUACACACCGCCCGUCACACCAUGGGAGUUGGGAGCGCCCGAAGCCAAUAGCCUAACCGCAAGGAGGGCGUUGUCUAAGGUGAGACCAAUGACUGGGGUGAAGUCGUAACAAGGUAGCCGUAUCGGAAGGUGCGGCUG
rnacentral:rRNA from 1 species